AUACUUACCUGGUCGGGGUCAAUGGUUGAUCAAGAAGAACUGUGGCCUAAGAUAGUGACCUCCAUUGCACCUUAAGGAGGUGUGCUUAUAAGCUUGAGGUCUCUCCAAGUGAGAGAGCCUGCGUCAUUUAUUUGUUGCUGCGGUGACCUGCAUUCGCUCGGCCCCUCC
rfam:Arabidopsis lyrata subsp. lyrata unplaced genomic scaffold ARALYscaffold_6, whole genome shotgun sequence.